rnacentral:rRNA from 1 species
GACGAACGCUGGCGGCGUGCUUAACACAUGCAAGUCGAACGAUGAAGCCGGAGCUUGCUCUGGUGAAUUAGUGGCGAACGGGUGAGUAACACGUGAGUAACCUGCCCUUGACUCUGGGAUAACUGCUAGAAAUGGUAGCUAAUACCGGAUACGACCCUCGGAGGCAUCUUCAGGGGGUGGAAAGAAUUUCGGUCAAGGAUGGACUCGCGGCCUAUCAGCUAGUUGGUGAGGUAAGGGCAAACCAAGGCGACGACGGGUAGCCGGCCUGAGGGGGUGACCGGCCACACUGGGACUGAGACACGGACCAGUCUGCUACGGGAGGCAGCAGUGGGGAAUAUUGCACAAUGGGCGCAAGCCUGAUGCAGCAACGCCGCGUGAGGGAUGACGGCCUUCGGGUUGUAAACCUCUUUUAGUAGGGAAGAAGCGAAAGUGACGGUACCUGCAGAAAAAGCACCGGCUAACUACGUGCCAGCCGCCGCGGUAA